rnacentral:rRNA from 1 species
GCGGCAGGCCUAACACAUGCAAGUCGAGCGGAAACGAGUUAACUGAACCUUCGGGGAACGUUAACGGCGUCGAGCGGCGGACGGGUGAGUAAUGCCUAGGAAAUUGCCCUGAUGUGGGGGAUAACCAUUGGAAACGAUGGCUAAUACCGCAUGAUGCCUACGGGCCAAAGAGGGGGACCUUCGGGCCUCUCGCGUCAGGAUAUGCCUAGGUGGGAUUAGCUAGUUGGUGAGGUAAGGGCUCACCAAGGCGACGAUCCCUAGCUGGUCUGAGAGGAUGAUCAGCCACACUGGAACUGAGACACGGUCCAGACUCCUACGGGAGGCAGCAGUGGGGAAUAUUGCACAAUGGGCGCAAGCCUGAUGCAGCCAUGCCGCGUGUGUGAAGAAGGCCUUCGGGUUGUAAAGCACUUUCAGUCGUGAGGAAGGUUUAUGCGUUAAUAGCGUAUAGAUUUGACGUUAGCGACAGAAGAAGCACCGGCUAACUCCGU